rnacentral:rRNA from 1 species
UACGAAGGGUGCAAGCGUUACUCGGAAUUACUGGGCGUAAAGCGUGCGUAGGUGGUUUGUUAAGUCUGAUGUGAAAGCCCUGGGCUCAACCUGGGAAUUGCAUUGGAUACUGGCAGGCUAGAGUGCGGUAGAGGGUAGUGGAAUUCCCGGUGUAGCAGUGAAAUGCGUAGAGAUCGGGAGGAACAUCUGUGGCGAAGGCGACUACCUGGACCAGCACUGACACUGAGG